GACGAACGCUGGCGGCAGGCUUAACACAUGCAAGUCGAGCGCCCCGCAAGGGAGCGGCGGACGGGUGAGUAACGCGUGGGAAUCUGCCCUUUGGUGUGGGACAACCACGGGAAACUGUGGCUAAUACCGCAUGAGCCCGAGAGGGGAAAGCCGCAAGGCGCCGAGGGAUGAGCCCGCGUCGGAUUAGCUAGUUGGUAGGGUAACGGCCUACCAAGGCGAUGAUCCGUAGCUGGUCUGAGAGGAUGAUCAGCCACACUGGGACUGAGACACGGCCCAGACUCCUACGGGAGGCAGCAGUGGGGAAUAUUGGACAAUGGGGGAAACCCUGAUCCAGCCAUGCCGCGUGAGGGAUGACGGCCU
rnacentral:rRNA from 1 species